UACGAAGGGUGCAAGCGUUACUCGGAAUUACUGGGCGUAAAGCGUGCGUAGGUGGUGAGUUAAGUCUGUCGUGAAAGCCCCGGGCUCAACCUGGGAAUGGCGAUGGAUACUGGCUCGCUAGAGUGCGGUAGAGGGUGGUGGAAUUCCCGGUGUAGCAGUGAAAUGCGUAGAGAUCGGGAGGAACAUCAGUUGCGAAGGCGGCCACCUGGACCAGCACUGACACUGAGGCACGAAAGCGUGGGUAGCAAACAGG
rnacentral:rRNA from 1 species